GCCUUCGGGACAGAGGUGACAGGUGGUGCAUGGUUGUCGUCAGCUCGUGUCGUGAGAUGUUGGGUUAAGUCCCGCAACGAGCGCAACCCUUGAUUUUAGUUGCCAGCACAUAAUGGUGGGCACUCUAGAAUGACUGCCGGUGACAAACCGGAGGAAGGCGGGGAUGACGUCAAAUCAUCAUGCCCCUUAUGACUUGGGCUACACACGUACUACAAUGGCUGGU
rnacentral:rRNA from 1 species